rnacentral:rRNA from 1 species
ACGCACGCUGGCGGCGUGCUUAACACAUGCAAGUCGAACGGAAAGGCCCUGCUUUUGUGGGGUGCUCGAGUGGCGAACGGGUGAGUAACACGUGAGUAACCUGCCCUUGACUUUGGGAUAACUUCAGGAAACUGGGGCUAAUACCGGAUAGGAGCUCCUGCUGCAUGGUGGGGGUUGGAAAGUUUCGGCGGUUGGGGAUGGACUCGCGGCUUAUCAGCUUGUUGGUUGGGUAGUGGCUUACCAAGGCUUUGACGGGUAGCCGGCCUGAGAGGGUGACCGGCCACAUUGGGACUGAUAUACGGCCCAGACUCCUACGGGAGGCAGCAGUGGGGAAUAUUGCACAAUGGGAGGAAGCCUGAUGCAGCAACGCCGCGUGCGGGAUGACGGCCUUCGGGUUGUAAACCGCUUUCGCCUGUGACGAAGCGUGAGUGACGGUAAUGGGUAAAGAAGCACCGGCUAACUACGUG